rnacentral:rRNA from 1 species
GAUGAACGCUGGCGGCGUGCCUAAUACAUGCAAGUCGAGCGAACAGAUGAGGAGCUUGCUCCUCUGACGUUAGCGGCGGACGGGUGAGUAACACGUGGAUAACCUACCUAUAAGACUGGGAUAACUUCGGGAAACCGGAGCUAAUACCGGAUAAUAUAUUGAACCGCAUGGUUCAAUAGUGAAAGACGGUUUUGCUGUCACUUAUAGAUGGAUCCGCGCCGCAUUAGCUAGUUGGUAAGGUAACGGCUUACCAAGGCAACGAUGCGUAGCCGACCUGAGAGGGUGAUCGGCCACCCUGGAACUGGGACACGGUCCAGACGCCUACGGGAGGCAGCAGUAGGGAAUCUUCCGCAAUGGGCGAAAGCCUGACGGAGCAACGCCGCGUGAGUGAUGAAGGUCUUCGGAUCGUAAAACUCUGUUAUUAGGGAAGAACAAAUGUGUAAGUAACUAUGCACGUCUUGACGGUACCUAAUCAGAAAGCCACGGCUAACUACGUG